rnacentral:rRNA from 1 species
CCUACGGGGGGCUGCAGUGGGGAAUAUUGCACAAUGGGCGAAAGCCUGAUGCAGCAACGCCGCGUGAGCGAUGAAGGCCUUCGGGUUGUAAAGCUCUGUCUUCGCUGACGAAACCUGACGGUAAGCGAGGAGGAAGCCACGGCUAACUACGUGCCAGCAGCCGCGGUAAUACGUAGGUGGCAAGCGUUGUCCGGAAUUAUUGGGCGUAAAGGAUGCGUAGGCGGCCCUUUAAGUGGGGUGUGAAAGGCUACGGCUCAACCGUAGUAAGCCUUUGAAACUGUAGGGCUUGAGUGCAGGAGAGGAGAGUGGAAUUCCCAGUGUAGCGGUGAAAUGCGUAGAUAUUGGGAGGAACACCAGUUGCGAAGGCGGCUCUCUGGACUGUAACUGACGCUGAGGCACGAAAGCGUGGGGAGCGAACAGGAUUAGAUACCCCUGUAGUC